UUCUCACUCUGCUGCCAGAUGAUGGGUAACCAAGAUGAAUGGAUGAAAUAUGAGCUGAUGGCCAUCCAGCGUAGCUCUCACCUCCGGGUUAUCGGAGGAGGGCUAUUAACAACAGUUAAAUUAGCACAGUCAUUGGCCUAUAUGAAGCUCUGCUUGGGUAACCUGCCCUUAUCUAUUCAAUUAGGUAAGUCUGCUUUCAUCGUAUACUGUGAAGAGAAGGUGUCAGUAUUAAGGGAGAGACACUUAAUAGAUUUGUUUUCUCCACAGGCUAUCGAGCCCAUGAAAUGUGUGUGUGUCUGAAGAAACCGAAGCUGGACUAUCUGGUUCUCUGCAUGCUCUUCAAAGCUCUCUUUCUGAGCAUCAGGUACCAAGAUUGUGUGCAAGUACUGAGCUGGCUGGAGCAGUUGGCUGUUGUGGAGGAGACAAUCAUUGGGAUGGCUUGUUUCUUUUCUUACUGUUUAGAACUCUUGCUUUAUGUUGGUAAGUACUGGGUAAUGAGGACAACAGAUAAAGGCGUGCUUUGCAAAGACACUCUUGGACAGGGACGGUUGCCAUGUCAACACUGCCAGAAAACGGUGGCGCCAUUCUGGCAUCUCGUUUGUGGUUAAACUGCAAUUGAUAUGCUUUUAAAGAAGAGAGCUAAAAGAUUUAACAGAAAAGGGGUUGUAGCUCCGAUGAAGGGAUGUUGAUAUCUGUGUGAACGUUGACGCUUUUGGGAUAUUCUCAUACAAAUCUGGAGCCUUAUACUGGGAGGUGGGAGGUUGUAAAGUUGGCCAACAAGGCUAACUGGGGUUCUGCAGACUUCACUCAGCUGGCAUGGAGGAAUUCCCCUCAUCUCUACCCCAAUCACCCUGCUCCUUUUAGCCCCCUGGCACUCCGCACAUCUAAAGCCUUGUGUACAGUUAAAACCUUUGCCAGUAUAACUAUAUCAGUAUGGUUGAAUUGGCAAAACCCUGCUAAUGGAGAUGCUGUUAUACCAGCAAAAAAAUUCUUUUGCUGGUACAGCUUAUACCAGUUUUGUGAAUUACAUAAACUGUACUGGCAAAAGCCCUUUCCC
rnacentral:lncRNA from 1 species